CCUGGGCAGCGUGUGGCUGAAGG
rnacentral:miRNA from 1 species